rnacentral:rRNA from 1 species
UACGUAGGGGGCAAGCGUUGUCCGGAUUUAUUGGGCGUAAAGAGCGUGUAGGCGGCCAAAUAGGUCGGUUGUGAAAACUGGAGGCUUAACCUCCAGACGUCGACCGAAACCACCUGGCUAGAGUCCGGAAGAGGAGAGUGGAAUUCCUGGUGUAGCGGUGAAAUGCGCAGAUAUCAGGAAGAACACCCGUGGCGAAGGCGGCUCUCUGGGACGGUACUGACGCUGAGACGCGAAAGCGUGGGGAGCGAACAGG